rnacentral:rRNA from 1 species
CGGCGGACGGGUGAGUAACGCGUGGGUAACCUGCCUCAUACAGGGGGAUAACAGUUAGAAAUGACUGCUAAUACCGCAUAAGACCACGGUACCGCAUGGUACAGUGGUAAAAACUCCGGUGGUGUGAGAUGGACCCGCGUCUGAUUAGGUAGUUGGUGGGGUAACGGCCUACCAAGCCGACGAUCAGUAGCCGACCUGAGAGGGUGACCGGCCACAUUGGGACUGAGACACGGCCCAG